rnacentral:rRNA from 1 species
AUCGUAGGACACAAGCGUUAUCCGGAGUUACUGGGCGUAAAGCGUGCGUAGGCGGUUUGUUAAGUCUGCUGUGAAAGCCCCGGGCUCAACCUGGGAACGGCAGUGGAUACUGGCAAGCUAGAGUGUGUCAGAGGAUGGUGGAAUUCCCGGUGUAGCGGUGAAAUGCGUAGAGAUCGGGAGGAACAUCAGUGGCGAAGGCGGCCAUCUGGGACAACACUGACGCUGAGGCACGAACGCGUGGGGAGCAAACAGG